AGUUCGGAUUGGAGUCUGNAACCCGACUCCAUGAAGCUGGAUUCGCUAGUAAUCGCGCAUCAGCCACGGCGCGGUGAAUACGUUCCCGGGCCUUGUACACACCGCCCGUCAAGCCAUGGAAGCCGGGAGUGCCUGAAGUGCGUGAGCGCAAGCAGCGCCCUAAGGUAAAACCGGUGACUGGGGCUAAGUCGUAACAAGGUAUC
rnacentral:rRNA from 1 species